GCCUUAGAGAUAUAGCAGUAAUAAAAUAGCUAUAAUUAUUUUCACAAUUGACAAGCUCCUCGAACACAUGCUAAAUGGAAGUAUAGAUACAUUAAUCAAAAGGGAAAUUGCUGAUUAAGAUGCAUUGCAUUCCAAUAACAAAGUAAGAAACACUUUCUUCAAACACUAGAAUUAUCAAACUUCUUUCGGUUGUAUAACGCAACAGUUCAUUUUCCAUGUUUCUCUGAAUGGAGAGGAUUGGAGGGUCAGAGGACUUUUGCUUCAAGAGAAUCACACUUGAAAACCUGGAGCUGGUGAAUGAGAUGGUAUUACAAAAUGCAACUGGGUAAUAUUGUAAUAAUAUUGCACAUAUAUUUGCAAGGAGGUCAAGAAUUAUAUGGUGGAGGUAGAAAAUUGGUCUAAUGGACUGUUGGAAUAUAUAUAUGACAUCAGGGUGACACAGUGAACUUGAA
rnacentral:lncRNA from 1 species